ACGCGAAGAACUUACCUGGCCUUGACAUCCUAGGAAGCCUGCAGAGAUGCGGGUGUGCCUUCGGGAACCAUGAGACAGGUGCUGCAUGGCUGUCGUCAGCUCGUGUCGUGAGAUGUUGGGUUAAGUCCCGCAACGAGCGCAACCCUUGUCCUUAGUUGCCAUCAUUCAGUUGGGAACUCUAAGGAGACCGCCGGUGACAAACCGGAGGAAGGUGGGGAUGACGUCAAGUCAUCAUGGCCUUUAUGGCCAGGGCUACACACGUGCUACAAUGGCAGGUACAGAGGGAAGCCAACGCGCGAGCGGGAGCCAAUCCCAGAAAGCCUGUCGUAGUCCGGAUCGGAGUCUGCAACUCGACUCUGUGAAGUUGGAAUCGCUAGUAAUCGCAGAUCAGCAUUGCUGCGGUGAAUACGUUCCCGGGUCUUGUACACGCCG
rnacentral:rRNA from 1 species